CGCUGCAGGCAGGGGGAAGGAUGCACCUCCACGAUAAAUAAAAAACAUCAUGAACCAGCGGCGGACCUAACGGUAGGCGGACUAGGCGGUCGCCGAAGAUCUCUAGUCUGUAGUAUGCCGUAUGUUUACAAGUGGACAGAGUAUUAGCGAUAAGGGCCCCCGGAAAGAUGGUCGUUGGGGCCCCGUGGCUGGAGAACCAUGUGGAAACGCGAGGAGCGGGAUCUGAAGUCUUUCGUUGGUCACACACACAUGCAUCUACCAGCGGAUUACGCUACACCGUGUCUACCCAUCUUUCUCGAUCUACCAUGAUUUUUUCUGCUAUCGCACUCAUCCGGUUGUUAGGCAUCCUCAGUCUGUCCAGAACUUUCGUUGUGGAAGGAUGCGCGGGAGUGAUGUGCGAUUUCUUGUGUCCCCUACUUUCCUUGUUUACGUUUUGCGGUGUGUUGCUUCUUCUUCCAUUGUUGAAUGAUUUAUCCUAGCUAACUUGUUGAGUAACAGGUGCAUGCGCCAUUCAUCAACGCCUACCUGUUGGCAUCAUCAACAAUCUUCAAAAUGGGUGACGGAAAGAAAUUGUUUUCCAGUUUUAAAAUAUUAAGCGUUCAGCACAACUCAGCCACAAAACAACGCACUGGAUUGCGCUAAGAACCUGUCGAAACGCGCGCAGACCCCGCGCGCGGUAGGAGAAAGGAAGAACGAGAGGAGGAAAAACUAAAGCCAGCGCGCAGCUCUGAUGGCGCAGCUCUGAUCAAGAGGAGGAAGAACGGUAAAUUUGGAAGGGGGAGACCGUUCUGCCGUCUACACAGUGUGAGUAUGCCAAGGCACGUGUUGGAACGGAGCGAAAAAGUUGGAAUAAACCGCAUGCGAAUGUGUGCAUACAGCAAAUGUAAACAUGUGUGCCUCAUCAUUUCUAUAAGCAAUCCGAAAAGGGGGUGGAGCAAACACAUUGGUAUGCGUGAGGUGCAGAAGGAAUCAGAGCGUGAUAGUAUGCGUGAACGCGAUCGUUCGGGU